rnacentral:misc_RNA from 1 species
CGGUCAAUCCCUUUGUUUGAGACUGCAUUUACAAGAUGUACAAUAGUAUUGAUAUUAUCAUAUGUAUGGUUGAGGAGAAGUGGACAGCCAUUAUUUGGAGCAGCAAAUGCUAGGAAACUUCUCUUUUGGAGAGCCUUAACUGGAUAUCUAUCAUUAUUGAGUUUUAUUUAUUGCAUUCAGAGGUUACCCUUGUCUCAGGCUAUUGUAUUAAAUUUCACAACUCCAAUUGUGGCUUCAAUUGUG